rnacentral:rRNA from 1 species
GGCUGUCGUCAGCUCGUGUCGUGAGAUGUUGGGUUAAGUCCCGCAACGAGCGCAACCCACGUUUUUAGUUGCCAGCAUUUAGUUGGGCACUCUAGAAAGACUGCCGGUGAUAAACCGGAGGAAGGUGUGGAUGACGUCAAGUCAUCAUGCCCCUUACAUCCUGGGCUACACACGUACUACAAUGCUACGGACAAAGGGCAGCAAACUCGCGAGAGCUAGCAAAUCCCAUAAACCGUGGCUCAGUUCAGAUCGUAGGCUGCAACUCGCCUACGUGAAGGCGGAAUCGCUAGUAAUCGCAGGUCAGCAUACUGCGGUGAAUACGUUCCCGGGCCUUGUACACACCGCCCGUCACACCAUGGAAGUUGGCCACGCCCGAAGUCGUUACUCCAACCCUUGUGGAGGAGGACGCCGAAGGUGGGGCUGAUGACUGGGGUGAAGUCGUAACAAGGUAGCCGUACCGGAAGGUGCGGCUGGAUCACCUCCUAA